CUGACCUCAACUGAUCCACCUGCCUUGGCCUUCCAAAGUGCUGGGAUUACAGGCUUGAGCCACUGCGCUCAGCCUGAAGCAUUUUAUCAUGCUCGCUACAAGGUGUUCAUAAGUAGUAAAUAAAGCCCUUGGGCUAGAUAAUGUAAGAUCCAUUGCAACCCGGAGAUGAAGAACUUUAUAAAGGGGAUAAUUGUUAUCACCCAUCAGAGUUUUAAGAUGAUCUACAUGUAGUCCCACUAAUUAUAUUUCUCCUAACUUUUAUAGACAGAGAAAUCAGUGAAAAAUAUGUAUUUCUAAGGAUUAAAUCCCAAUCCGUAGCUCAAGGCUACCUUUAUGUCUAAUAGUUGUGAUAUAAUAUGUUGCUUAGAGUAGUUCUAUAAAUGGAAUUCACACAUAGGACCAUAGAAUCACUUCUUCACAGGGUUUCAGAGUUGGUGGACAUAUAAAAGGAUAAAUCAACCCAUAAAUCUGUAAGUAUUCCUAAAAAAAGAGUGAUGUGUCAGUUAUUGGCACCAGUACAUGAUGAAUCCUGCUGGGCUGUGGAGAAAGGAGAAACUGACCUGAACAGCACUAUACUCUACACAGCUGUCCCUGACAUUCCACACCUGUUAGCAUUCAGUAUUAAUUUCAUGGAUCAAAUCAAGGCAUGCAAGUGCAUUAAAUAACUUUUUAAAAAACAACUGCUGAUUGCUGAGGGUCUGUGAGGGAAGAAAAAUUAGGGGCUGUUAUUUUCCUAUCAGCCAUUACUCUGAUUAACAAGAACAGGAAACAUUAUGAAUAAAUAAAACUCUUACAUCAUACCAGAAAAAACAGCUGAAUCCCCUAAAGGAUUUCAUAUUCUAUCAUCAGACAACUAAAGAAAAUAAUUCCAUAUAAAUGGCUGCAUUAAUCAUUGAAAGAAACUUCCCUGCUUUUUUAAAAGAGCAACUAGAAAUAUUUACUUUUUGAAAAUAGAGUAACCAUUUGUUAAGCCAUAUAUACCAUUGAGGAUGUUUUGGGUAUAAAAGGGAAUUUCCAUAAUAAUUACAUAGUAAUCUUUUAUAGCCAAAGUUAUGAAGAUGAUCAGAAUAUGGGAAAAUUGUGGUCAAGAUUUGAUUAGCCUUAUCUAAAUUCCCCUAAUGAGUGUGUAAAAAUGUAUAUCUAAUUUACCUUUUGGGGGAGGUUUAACGUAAAUAUAAAUAAAAAUUCUUUCCCCAGGUAAAAAAAAGUUACAUAGUUGAAUUCUACCUUUUCUCAUUUCUCUACAUCCAAACCUAUCACCAAGUACUGUUAAUUUUACUUUAUAAAGCUCUCUUGAUGUGUCUCUUCAACCUCAUCACCACUGCUUUAAAUGAGGCAUACUUCCUCAUUUGGAUUAUGGCAGCAGUCUCUCUUCCUUUAGCCUUUCCUUCAAAUCCACCUCCAUCCUUCAUAUCAUCCAUCAUGUAUUUUUCCCUGUCUAAAUUCCUUGGUUGGCUUCUAUUAAAUCCAAGUUCCUUAAGCAUGGCAAACAGGGGCCAGCUUCCACGAGCUGGUCCAUACUUCUCCUGCCUCAUUUCCUGACACUUUCCCUUAUACCUUGAGAUCCAGCUUGCCAGUAGUUCCCCAAUACCUCCACCGCAUAUACAACCACAUAUAUAUACAUCCUUAUCCCCUCCCUCAUGUACCACCCAUGUAUAAUUCUCUCCAUCUCAUGCUUUAUCACAUUCCUACAAGCCUUGAAGCAAUCUGAACAUAGAUACCAUCUUUAAUUCGACUCCUAAUUGGGGCCGAACAUACUUGUCUUGAACAGAGAUUGCUGCCUUGUUAGUAUAGGUAUCCUAAUAUGGCACAUGUAUAUAGUUGAAGCUAUAACGCAUUUCCCAAGUUCCACUUCAGGACUAAAGGGUUAUUUCCCAACAGCUGGAAGUCCUGCUGCCAGACAGACUUCUUCUGGAAUGUCCCCAACUCAAGACAGCCCUGAAGGACCUUUCCCAGUUUUCCAUGGGGUCCACUGAGGCUUUGAGAUUGAACUGAAAUUAACUUCCCCCUCUGCUGUAGCUUCCCUUCAACAGGUGUUUAUCACAAGAACAAUCGCUAAUAAACUUCCUGUGAGCACACUCUCAGAGUCAGCUUGCUGGGGAACCCAAGCUAUAACAACAUGUUUAUCUUGUUGACACUCUCUUAUGAGUUCUAAAUCAUGGGAAGUUAUGGUUAUCCAAAAAUCUUACUAAUUGAAGAUCAUUUCAUCAGACAUGUAUUGAGCACCCGCUGCAUGCCAGGCAUUGUGCCAGAUACGAUGGAAACAAAUCAAGACUUGGCCCCUGUCGUGGAGUUUACAGUCUGAGGUGACAGUUACAUAUGGAACUAAUUGUACUAUAGCAUCUUGAAAAUCUUUUUGAUUUAAACAUCAAUAAUUUUAGUAUAACAGUCAAAAGCAUGGAUUUUGUGGUGUUACAAAACACAAAAGGAAAACAUUUCAGGGGAAGGAAUACGAAUAUAAGUAAGUUGAAUGAAAUUUUAGAAGAGCACAGAGUUUGUCUUUAUAAUUCUGAAAGCCUUCAGGGAAAAGUUAAUUUUUUCACUUUUUGUUUUGAAAUAAUUUCAAACUUACAGAAAAGUCACAUGAAUACUGAACUCCCAUAUACCCUUUAUGCAGAUAUAUCAGUUUUUAACGUUUUCCUUCAUUCUGUUUCUUUACAUGCAUACAAUUUAUUUUUGUGAACUAUCUGAGAAUAGGUUAAAUACUACAUUAUAUCACUUUAUACCUUAAAAAUGUAGUAUUUCCUAGAAACAAGGGUAUUCACCUCUGUAACCACAACGCAGUUGUCAGAUUCAGGUAAUUUGACCUUGAUCUUUAAUCUAGAGCCCAGAUUCAGAUUUUAUUAAUUGUCCCAAAAAAGAUGAGUUUAGGAAGAGUCAUAUAACUUAACUUUUGUAAUGUAAAUUAAAAAUCAUAUGAAAAAUCAUAGAACUCGGAAGUUUGCUAACCUGAUUUAAAUACCACAGUGAAAUGAACCACUUCUGAUUUUCUAUGGAGAAAGCAAGGAUUAGGUCCAGGUUACCUGUAAAGCUGUGACUUAGGGCUCCCAGCAGUGAACGUUGCUCUGGAGAGCCCAUUUGGUGAGGUUCUUUUCAAGAGAUUGUAUAUUUUUGAUCCAGGGAUUGUCGAUUUGUUGAACUCCCAUGUAAGUAUGCCGCCUUGCCAUUAACAGGUCUUCACAAUGCUUAAACGACAUUCUUUGGAACUGUCUUUCAUAGUCAGGCGCCCCGCCAGCCAGGCGGUCAGGUAGGUAGAAGGGCAACCUCAGGAACUAGAUCCGGCUGGGCCUCCCCUAACAACGUGGUCUUCGAUCCUCUAACCGGCUGGGCCUCGAACCUCAUCACACAGAGCUUUGAUAGGGCCGGAGACGCAGGUCAGCCUGACGAAGGCGUCAGGAGGAGUUGGGCAGGGGCGCGACUUCCUGCUGCACCACUUCCUUUCCAGCCACGCGGGCUUCUGGGACCCUAUGACAUAAUUUCUGGAAUGGUCUGUUUUGUGGCGGCGGCGAGGCCCAAGCACAGCCGCCCAAGGGGGAUGCAUAACCCAGGUCGUGUCCACCCCAAAGCUCGAGUCCUCUAGAAGCCAUGGCUUUUCCGCUGAAGCUAGAGCCGGACAUGCAGGGGAAAGUAGAUUUGUUUCGGGCCUGUAUCGCCCAGGAGGCCGAGGAUCUCGUGUCCGCCUUCUUUCCUCAGGAGGUCUUGGAGCUGAAUAGCCGAGUUCAGGAGCUCCGGCUGCAAGACCUGUCCAGAAUCCAUUCGGUGCCAACCCCGGAGCCCCUGGCCACCCCAGGCACCGCGGGAGAUGGGCCCAACCAAAAUCUGCCACCUCUGCAGACUCAGUUCUCCAUCGAGGUCCCAGCACUGCUUGGCAGCGGGGGACAGCGCCUGCGGAGCAACCAGCAUGUAAUGGAUCUGAUUGAUCAGGUAAAACCUGAGACUGAGCUGCUGAAAGAAAAAUGCAACACAGUGCGGAUGUGGGUGCACCUGCUUAUCCCGAAGGUGGAGGACGGCAACCACUGCAGGGUGUCUGGAUAUCCAGAAAGACACUGGACCAGCUGUGGACUGUGGAGAGCACAGCGGCCUCCUAUCUACGCGGUCUCAACCAUUAAUAAAUAACUGUGUGAUCAAUUUAAGUGAUUUUUAAUUUCAGGCCGGAUGCGGUGGCUCAUACCUGUAAUUCCAGCACUUUGGGAGGCCAAGGUGAGCA